CCUACGGGAGGCAGCAGUGAGGAAUAUUGGUCAAUGGGCGAGAGCCUGAACCAGCCAAGUCGCGUGAGGGAAGACGGUCCUAUGGAUUGUAAACCUCUUUUGCCGGGGAGCAAAAAGCGGUACGUGUACCGCAUCGAGAGUACCCGGAGAAAAAGCAUCGGCUAACUCCGUGCCAGCAGCCGCGGUAAUACGGAGGAUGCGAGCGUUAUCCGGAUUUAUUGGGGUUAAAGGGUGCGCAGGCGGCGAGUUAAGUCAGCGGUAAAAUUUCGGGGCUCAACCCCGACGAGCCGUUGAAACUGGCGUGCUAGAGUGGGCGAGAAGGAUGCGGAAUGCGUGGUGUAGCGGUGAAAUGCAUAGAUAUCACGCAGAACUCCGAUUGCGAAGGCAGCAUACCGGCGCCCAACUGACGCUCAGGCACGAAAGCGUGGGUAUCGAACAGGAUUAGAUACCCCUGUAGUC
rnacentral:rRNA from 1 species